UUCCGACUCUUCCUAAUUUCAACUUUUUUUCUCAGUCGGGACAAGGCUCCAAUAACUGUGUGGUAGGUGGAUCUUCACCUGGCCAAGCAAGUCCAGUGACACCCACUACGGUUCAUGUCGCUUCGACCUCCCCGCAACAAUGAUCACUUGAGGUUUGCAUUGUGGAUGGCGUUGACGGUGGUUAUAUAUGCUGCGGUGGAGCUCAUUGCAUGGUUCAUACUUGGUGUGAACUUGGAACUCAUGAUCCUUUAAUUUGUGAACCUCUGGUUGCAUAUGUAUGUAUGUUGUUGUGAACCUUCAUUGGAUAUGUAUGCACUGUGUGGACCUGAAACUUACGGUCCUUUCGUUUGUGAUCUUUUGUUGCAUAUGUGGACUUUGCACUCAUGUACGGCUGGAUAUAUGUAUUACUGGAUAUAUAUUUGUUGGUCAUGGUCAUGUACUGCUGGAUAUAUGUGUUGCUGGAUAGAUGUACUACUGUAUAUAUGUUGUUGCUGCUCCCUGAAGCGAGUACCAAAAAAAUGUUAUAAGGCUUAUAAGCCGUGUAGCCCAGCUAUCUGACACCCGGCUUAUAAGACAUAUAGCUGCGGCCAACCUAUAAGCCGUGUAGCCCAGCACCAAGCACCUGGCUUAUAGACCAUAUGGACACACGGGCAGGCUGUAUAAGCCGUGUGCCUCAGUUAACCAGCACCCGGCUUAUAUAUGUAUAUAACCGUGCUGUUGUCGGAGGAACUCGGCUUAUAUAGUAAC